GGGAGGACAGGAGAAUAGGGAACGGAGUGCGAGUCUCCGACAGGACCGCUGCUGUGAGGCGGAGCCAGGGCCAUGACCAUUGAUCGCGGGAUCGAGAAGGGGCCGGAGCGAUGAAACCGAGUCAGAAGACCUGCCUGUGAAAAU
rnacentral:ncRNA from 1 species